CACAUGCAAGUCGAGCGGUAGCACAGAGAGCUUGCUCUCGGGUGACGAGCGGCGGACGGGUGAGUAAUGUCUGGGAAACUGCCUGAUGGAGGGGGAUAACUACUGGAAACGGUAGCUAAUACCGCAUAACGUCGCAAGACCAAAGUGGGGGACCUUCGGGCCUCAUGCCAUCAGAUGUGCCCAGAUGGGAUUAGCUGGUAGGUGGGGUAACGGCUCACCUAGGCGACGAUCCCUAGCUGGUCUGAGAGGAUGACCAGCCACACUGGAACUGAGACACGGUCCAGACUCCUACGGGAGGCAGCAGUGGGGAAUAUUGCACAAUGGGCGCAAGCCUGAUGCAGCCAUGCCGCGUGUGUGAAGAAGGCCUUCGGGUUGUAAAGCACUUUCAGCGGGGAGGAAGGCGAUAAGGUUAAUAACCUUGUCGAUUGACGUUACCCGCAGAAGAAGCACCGGCUAACUCCGUGCCAGCAGCCGCGGUAAUACGGAGGGUGCAAGCGUUAAUCGGAAUUACUGGGCGUAAAGCGCACGCAGGCGGUCUGUCAAGUCGGAUGUGAAAUCCCCGGGCUCAACCUGGGAACUGCAUUCGAAACUGGCAGGCUAGAGUCUUGUAGAGGGGGGUAGAAUUCCAGGUGUAGCGGUGAAAUGCGUAGAGAUCUGGAGGAAUACCGGUGGCGAAGGCGGCCCCCUGGACAAAGACUGACGCUCAGGUGCGAAAGCGUGGGGAGCAAACAGGAUUAGAUACCCUGGUAGUCCACGCUGUAAACGAUGUCGAUUUGGAGGUUGUGCCCUUGAGGCGUGGCUUCCGGAGCUAACGCGUUAAAUCGACCGCCUGGGGAGUACGGCCGCAAGGUUAAAACUCAAAUGAAUUGACGGGGGCCCGCACAAGCGGUGGAGCAUGUGGUUUAAUUCGAUGCAACGCGAAGAACCUUACCUGGUCUUGACAUCCACAGAACUUUCCAGAGAUGGAUUGGUGCCUUCGGGAACUGUGAGACAGGUGCUGCAUGGCUGUCGUCAGCUCGUGUUGUGAAAUGUUGGGUUAAGUCCCGCAACGAGCGCAACCCUUAUCCUUUGUUGCCAGCGGUUMGGCCGGGAACUCAAAGGAGACUGCCAGUGAUAAACUGGAGGAAGGUGGGGAUGACGUCAAGUCAUCAUGGCCCUUACGACCAGGGCUACACACGUGCUACAAUGGCAUAUACAAAGAGAAGCGACCUCGCGAGAGCAAGCGGACCUCAUAAAGUAUGUCGUAGUCCGGAUUGGAGUCUGCAACUCGACUCCAUGAAGUCGGAAUCGCUAGUAAUCGUAGAUCAGAAUGCUACGGUGAAUACGUUCCCGGGCCUUGUACACACCGCCCGUCACACCAUGGGAGUGGGUUGCAAAAGAAGUAGGUAGCUAAC
rnacentral:rRNA from 1 species